CACUCAUGUCUCACCAGCUUGUUUUAAACUUCAUUAUCAUAUACCCACUCACAUGUCUAGGAAACUCACUUCGACCACAUCUUAUGUUUGCUACAUACCCUAGACAUGUUUCAUCACCCUGUGACCUAGCUACGUAAUUUAAAAAAUGUGUGCAAUAACCUUCAAUGCCUUACACUUGUUUAUGCAUUUAUUGUACCAAGUUUGUACCUGCUGUUGGGGCACGGCAAGAGCCCAUGUUAAC